CAGGUGCAGAGUGCUUUUUCCACCAAAGAAGAGACAUUGUACUCUUUGGGGUUAUAUUAAUGACUAAAUCUGAGAAAUUAGAAAUGCAUUUGCUGAAUUGAAGAACCCAUUAGAGACUCUCAACAGGAGAAUGGGUCUUGCGGAGGAGUCAGUGACCUCUAAGGCCAGCUAUUUGAAAAUACAAAGUCAGAGGAAAAAAACGAAAAAAAGAAUGAAAAUGAAUUAAGACUGCCUACGAGAUACAGAAAAUUACCUCAAAAGACUAAAUCUGAGUUAUCAGUGCUCAAAAGGGAAUCAAACAAGAGCAAGUGGUAGAAAGUUUUUUCAAGGAAAGAAUAACAGAAAAUAACAGAAAACUUACCAACUCUUGAGAUAGAUAUACAUAUCUAGGUACAGGAAGAUCUGAGAGCACCAAGCAGAUUCAACUCGAAUAAGAAUACCGUAAGACACUGAAUAAUCAGACUGUCAAAGGUCAAGGACAAAGAGAGAAUCCUAAAGGCAGCAAGAGAAGAAAAGCAAAUAACAUAUAAAGGAAUUUCAAUCCAUCUGGCAGCAGAUUUCACAAUGGAAAUCUUACAGGCCAGGAGGAAGUGGAACGACAUGUUCAAAAGCUCAAAGAAGAAAACUGAUAUGAAAGAAUAUUGCAUUCAGCAAAAUUAUCCUUCAGAUAUGAAGGAGAAAUAAAGUUUUUCCAAGACAAUCAAAAACUGAGAAAAUUUACCAUCGCCAGACCCAUUGCAAGAAAUACUAAAGGGAGUUUUUCAAUCUGAAAGAACUGAAAAAAAAAAAAACUAAUAUGCAAAAAGAAAAUUUUGCAAUGUAUAAAACACAAUGGGUGCAGAAAAAGAGGAGCCAGAGAUACAGGAAAGAAGGCCAGAGAUACAGGAAUGAAGACGGAACCAAAAUUGGAGUUUUGCUGCCACAAACAAAGGAACACCAGGAGGCACUAGAUGCUGGAAGAGAAAAGAAACCAUUGUCACCCUGAAGUGUGAGCCUGCUCAUACUUUAAUUUUAGACAUCUGGUAUCUAGAGCUAUGAGAAGGAAUUUCUGUUAUUUUAAGCCAUUGACUUUGAGGCCAUUUCUUGUGGCAGCUAUAGGAAACUAACACUCCAGGUUAGAAUCAACGUGGUAGUUUCUCAGUAUCCACAGGUGGUUGGUUCUAGGACCCCCACCAAUACCAAAAUCUGAGGAUGCUCAAAACUCUAUUUAUAUAAUAUGGCAUAGUAUUUGCAUAUAACCUACACACAUCUUCUCAUAUGCUUUAAAUCACCUCUAGAUUAUCUACAAUAUGUAAUACUAUCUAAAUUGUUGUUAUACCACAUUGUUUUUAUUCAUAUUAUUUUUUAUAGUUGUACUGUUAUUUUUGUUUUGGGAUAUUUUUAUACACCGUUGAAUGUGCAGAUAC